rnacentral:lncRNA from 1 species
CAUUUCAUUUUGUGUGUGUUUUGUUCUUUAGGUCUGGAUCGGUUCUGCAGGUUUGAUCACCUAUAUUCGAUCAAACAAUGUUACGCAGCUCUGGGACACAAACUCAAUCUGCAGAUGAAGCUGAACCCUCAAUAUCAAGACCUUCAUUUGUAUAAGAAGUUAAAUGAUGGCAGUAUACUGGAAGUUUUUAGCAUAAAGAAAAAUAAAGAGCAUAAACAUGAAUCCAUCAGAAACAGAUCUGAGUUCUUCUUUGAUAAUUUGACUCUGAUCAUAAACAAUGUGAUCAAAGCAGAUUCAGGGACUUACACAUCACAUGUCAUUGAGAUAGAUAUGGUCAUAGCCAAUGAUCUUCAAGUGAUUGUUGAAAGUACACAAACUCUCUCAUCAGACUCAUUCUGUCUUGACAUUGACUGGUUAUGUGUUGACUGUGAUGUGUCCCUCCCUCCAGCUCCUAUUGGCUCAGUGGAAGUGUCAAUCAUCUGCUCCUCCAGUGGGGUGAUGAGGGUGUCCUGCUCCUCUGAGGGGGAUCCGCUCCUCUACAGCUGGACUCUGAAUGGAGAUCCACUGAUGGAUGGAAACAGCAGCAUUGAUCUGGAUGAGGGAACUGAUGGAGACAUCAGCUGCAGCGUGAAGAACCACGUCAGUCACACACAGAACACCAUUAGAGUCCAACCCUGUGCUGGACCAACUACUGCAGCUGUGACCUCUAGUUUGACCUCUGCAGUGACCAGCAGCACACAGACAUCAGAAUGUGGUACGAGUUUAACAAACACACUCCUGGAAACAUGA